UGGGGAAUUUUGGACAAUGGGCGCAAGCCUGAUCCAGCAAUGCCGCGUGUGUGAAGAAGGCCUUCGGGUUGUAAAUCACUUUUGUCCGGAAAGAAAACCUCGUGGUUAAUACCCGUGGGGGAUGACGGUACUGGAAGAAUAAGCACCGGCUAACUACGUGCCAGCAGCCGCGGUAAUACGUAGGGUGCAAGCGUUAAUCGGAAUUACUGGGCGUAAAGCGUGCGCAGGCGGUUCGCUAAGACAGAUGUGAAAUCCCCGGGCUUAACCUGGGAACUGCAUUUGUGACUGGCGGGCUAGAGUAUGGCAGAGAGGGGUAGAAUUCCACGUGUAGCAGUGAAAUGCGUAGAGAUGUGGAGGAAUACCGAUGGCGAAGACAGCCCCCUGGGCCAAUACUGACGCUCAUGCACGAAAGCGUGGGGAGCAAACAGG
rnacentral:rRNA from 1 species